UAUAAUGUAACAAUGGCCAUUUUCCUGACUUUUCUAAAACCACGUAUCGUUCUAUCAAUGACAUUGUCAAAUCCAUAUCUGGUCAUGUUGGCUGAUCAAUCAUCAUUCUAAAUGAUCAAGUCACAUCUUUAAACACAAUCCAUGUCACCAACGCAGUUCAUUUUCCAGCAAACGUGUAAUAUCUCAAUGCCUAGUGUAUUUGAAAGGUCAUCGAUAGAUAUAUAUCUGAAGCUUUUCCCAC
rnacentral:lncRNA from 1 species